AAAGAGUCUGAAACGGCAUCCUAUUCCCUAUGUGGUGCACUACCCCCUCUGUCUGGUUUCUGAUUGGUCCAUUCAGGAAACAGGUCCAUUUUGAUUGGUCCAUUCAGGAAGCAGGUCCAUUUUGAUUGGUCCAUUCAGGAAGCAGGUCCAUUUUGAUUGGUCCAUUCAGGAAGCAGGUCCAUUUUGAUUGGUCCAUUCAGGAAGCAGGUCCAUUUUGAUUGGUCCAUUCAGGAAGCAGGUCCAUUUUGAUUGGUCCAUUCAGGAAGCAGGUCUAUUUUGAAUGGUCUAUUCAGGAAGCAGGUCCAUUUUGAUUGGUCCAUUCAGGAACCAGGUCCAUUUUGAAUGGUCUAUUCAGGAAGCAGGUCCAUUUUGAAUGGUCUAUUCAGGAAGCAGAGGCCAGAUUGACAGCAAGCUACCAUUUACAAUAGACUGGGCUAAAAGCCGGGAUUUAAUUAAAGAAGCGAUAAGCAAACAACACUCUCAACAGUGAUCCUUUAAAGGGAAUUUCCAAGAUGUUUGCAGAGAUGUUGCAUUU